UACUCGAGUGGCGAACUGGUGAGUAACACGUUGGUGAUCUGCCCUGCACUUCGGGAUAAGCUUGGGAAACUGGGUCUAAUACCGGAUAGGAGCCAUCUUUAGUGUGGUGGUUGGAAAGUUUUUUCGGUGUAGGAUGAGCUCGCGGCCUAUCAGCUUGUUGGUGGGGUAAUGGCCUACCAAGGCGGCGACGGGUAGCCGGCCUGAGAGGGUGUACGGCCACAUUUGGACUGAGAUACGGCCCAG
rnacentral:rRNA from 1 species